UCUGACUGCGCGGGGGCCGGGAAGCCGGCAGGAGGACUUCUGGGGACUUUCUGGUCCCUCGGCCAACGGUCUUCGCGCCCUUUAUUCUCAGUCCCGGCACGGGACUGGACAGCCCCGGUGCGCGCCUCCGUGGAAGUUAAGGGGAGGCACAGCCAAGACGCCAGACAAGUAACCGACACGUGCCACCGCGCGGUGACAGAGAAAAUGGAUGUGAAAGACCACAGGCUUCCAGAACUUCGCUGCUAAUGCCUGUGGGUGCACUUGCUUAGUCCCUGUGGCACGGGCCACCACCGGCACGGAACUUGGGACUCUCGCCUGCCAGGGACAGGUGCCGUGUCCACGUGACUGACGGGGAAGCUGAGGCCCAGACGGUGGUGGGAUCACAUGGGUCAGGACAGCCAGCAGCUCCCAGCUUCUCAGGAUGAACUUCCCCUGUUGGAAGGGAUGGACAAGGGGGCCAGCUCUGGUCCUGAGGCAGCCCCGGGAGCCCCGGAGCCUGGAGACGUGCAGGGAAGGACCCCGGAGGACCAGCACCAGAUGAGAAAACUGAAGAUCAGAAUGGGGAGAGACUGUCUCAAGACUGGACUUGGAACUAAACGUUGGUCUGCCUGUCCCCCGCCCUGUGCUAGUCACAUACAAUCUCAUUAGUCCAGGAUUAUAGGGCAGAAUCUAGACCAAAAUCCUAGGGGGCUGACCUGUCUUCCUCCCCACCUGCCUGCUCUCCUUUCCUUCCUCCUUCCUCCUUCCUUCCACAAAAAUACACCAAGUACCUACUCUGUGCCAGCUACCAGGUAACCAAGCGAAACUCACUCCAUGCCUUCUGGAGCCCCAGGCCAGGUGAAGAAGCAGGACCCCCAAGGACAGAUCACCCUUUAGUUUGAUGAGAGCAUUAUGGGGGAAACACAGACCUCCCAAUGCCCCCCACAUGCCUUUUCACUCGUGCUGUGGGAUUGAUUGGUUCCCUGGCACCUCUGAAAUCAGUCACCCCUUGUGGAUCCUGUAAGACCCCCAGGCUCCUCCCCAGUGAAGCCCCCACCCCGCCAUGUACACACACUUCUCACUAACACUCAUGCAUAAUGUGGCAUAAAAGAUCAGGAUUCUCCUGGUAAGCAAAUAUCUCCUGUCUUUUUAUUGUCCUUAGGCCAUCUGGGGCUAAUUACACACAGCUUAGGUAACCUCAGAUCUAAACCGCUGAGAUCCAGCUCCCUGUUCCCGCCACCCGAAGCCUCAGCAAAGUGCAGGGCUUUGCAAACUAAAACUGGAGGUGGUCCUGCUUGCCAGAAACAACAGAGCACCCAGAGCGCAUGUGACCUGAGGGCAGCCACCCCUAACUGUCCAGACAGGCGGUAGAAUGCGGUGGUUAGGAGUUGCACAGACCUGGGUGUGAUCAGGGGCAAGUCACUGCGCCUCAGUUUCCCUGCUGGUAAACCAUAA